UGGGGAAUAUUGGGCAAUGGGCGCAAGCCUGACCCAGCAACGCCGCGUGAAGGAAGAAGGCUUUCGGGUUGUAAACUUCUUUUGACAGGGAAGAGCAGAAGACGGUACCUGUCGAAUAAGCCACGGCUAACUACGUGCCAGCAGCCGCGGUAAUACGUAGGUGGCAAGCGUUGUCCGGAUUUACUGGGUGUAAAGGGCGUGUAGCCGGGUUGACAAGUCAGAUGUGAAAUCCGGGGGCUUAACCCCCGAACUGCAUUUGAAACUGUUGAUCUUGAGUAUCGGAGAGGCAGGCGGAAUUCCUAGUGUAGCGGUGAAAUGCGUAGAUAUUAGGAGGAACACCAGUGGCGAAGGCGGCCUGCUGGACGACAACUGACGGUGAGGCGCGAAAGCGUGGGGAGCAAACAGG
rnacentral:rRNA from 1 species